ACUAUUCGAGCAACAGUAGUUGCCAAAGAGAAAAUAAGACAUAAACAUUUAUAUUUUAUAUCUUUAUGUGGAAAUACAUGGAAGCAUCUUUUGGCUGUAGAAAGUUUUUUUUUUUUUUAAAGAUGUGUUGGUUACAGUGUUAAACAGUAAAGCACAAGUGGAUAGUAGAGGGGCUGAACCCACUGGUGAAAAUUGUUUUUAAAGGGAUGACUAGAUCAAUUUGGUUUCUUUGGAAUUUUGACAUUUUAGUAAUUUCUGUUCCAAAGAAUUGGUAAACUAACUGUUAGUGAGUGUUAAGUCCAGACAGACUGAAGACCUUUCCCAAAGUCUUCAGUGCUGUCUAGAUCCACUGUGUGACUUCCAAGUUAAAAAGGGAGAGUGAAGCACAAGAUCAAGCUUUAAACUUUUAGAAGUUCUAAGCUUUCCAAGUCUUAUUUCUCUAGGAUAAGGCCCAUCCUUUCUGAUCUCCUCUCUUCCCACGGUUCAUAUUAAGAUUUACUUGGAGUGGAGUAGGCAAUACUUUGAAAGGGCUUGCCAAAUUUUAACUACAUUCAAGGUUAACUUCUGGGAAAACACCCAUGCUUAGACUACUGCAUAUGUCCACAGCUCCUCUGAUAGUGACUGUGGCAAAGGCUCACAUGUUAUACAGAGUGGUCCUGAAAGGAAGACUUCUUAGAAACAGGUCCUGCAUGGUUCAUUUGAGGCUAUCCAUCUUUGAUAUGAUGCCAAGCUCUGCCUGUGACAUUGCAUGGACGGCACAGUAGCUCCCAAGGGAUAUUGACAAUUAAGAACAGGAAACAUAGGUUGCUACAGGGAAUGAGGGAGAAGCCAGAGACAGGCUAAAGACACCUCCUCACUCCCAUGCUUUCUAAGUGUGGAAAAUCUUUUAUGUCACUGGUUAUAAAUAAAAUUUUUAAAGUC
rnacentral:lncRNA from 1 species